GUCCCCAUCGUCUAGAGGCCUAGGACACCUCCCUUUCACGGAGGGAACAGGGGUUCGACUCCCCUUGGGGACGCCA
rnacentral:tRNA from 6 species